CAGCCGCCACGGUAAUACGUAGGUGACAAGCGUUGUCCGGAAUUAUUGGGCGUAAAGGGAGCGCAGGCGGUUGGAAUAGUCUGAUGUGAAAGCCCACGGCUUAACCGUGGAAUUGCAUUGGAAACUGUCCAACUUGAAUGCAGAAGAGGAAAGCGGAAUUCCAUGUGUAGCGGUAAAAUGCGUAGAUAUUGGGAGGAACACCAGUGGCGAAGGCGGCUUUCUGGACUGCAACUGACGCUGAGGCUCGAAAGCCAGGGGAGCGAACGGGAUUAGAGACCCGCGUAGUCCCUGUCUCUUAUAC
rnacentral:rRNA from 1 species